CAAGACCUCGCGUUAUUGGAGCGGCCGAUGCCGGAUUAGCUAGUUGGUGGGGUAAAGGCCCACCAAGGCGACGAUCCGUAGCUGGCCUGAGAGGACGACCAGCCACACUGGGACUGAGACACGGCCCAGACUCCUACGGGAGGCAGCAGUGGGGAAUUUUGGACAAUGGGCGCAAGCCUGAUCCAGCCAUGCCGCGUGAGUGAAGAAGGCCUUCGGGUUGUAAAGCUCUUUCGCAAGGAAAGAAAACUUAUCCUCUAAUAAAGGGUGAGGUUGACGGUACCUUGAUAAGAAGCACCGGCUAACUACGUGCCAGCAGCCGCGGUAAUACGUAGGGUGCGAGCGUUAAUCGGAAUUACUGGGCGUAAAGCGUGCGCAGGCGGUUUUGUAAGUCAGAUGUGAAAUCCCCGGGCUCAACCUGGGAACU
rnacentral:rRNA from 1 species